rnacentral:rRNA from 1 species
CGUUCCCGGGUCUUGUACACACCGUCCGUCACACCACGAGAGUUUACAACACCCGAAGUCGGUGGGGUAACCCGCAAGGGAGCCAGCCGCCGAAGGUGGGGUAGAUGAUUGGGGUG